AUACGUAGGGGGCGAGCGUUGUCCGGAAUUACUGGGCGUAAAGGGUGCGUAGGCGGUCUUUUAAGUCAGAUGUGAAAUACCAGGGCUCAACCUUGGGGGUGCAUUUGAAACUGGGGGACUUGAGUGCAGGAGAGGAAAGUGGAAUUCCUAGUGUAGCGGUGAAAUGCGUAGAGAUUAGGAGGAACACCAGUGGCGAAGGCGACUUUCUGGACUGUAACUGACGCUGAGGCACGAAAGCGUGGGGAGCAAACAGGAUUAGAUACCCUGGUAGUCCACGCCGUAAACGAUGGAUACUAGGUGUAGGGGGUAUCGACCCCCUCUGUGCCGGAGUUAACGCAAUAAGUAUCCCGCCUGGGGAGUACGGCCGCAAGGUUGAA
rnacentral:rRNA from 1 species